GCGUUCAUCAAACUUGCUGCAAGUUGUUCCAUCAGACUUGUCAAAACUUGAUAUCCACAGACUUGAUGCAAGUUGAUGAAACAACUAGCAUCAAGUCUGCAAAUGACAACUUUGCAGCAAGCCUGAAUUUCUCAACUUGCAUCAGCAUUGAUGCGUUCAUCAGAUUUGCUGCAAUUAAGUUGUUCUAUAUAUCAGGCUUGCUGCAAGUUGACAUUUGCAGACUUGCAUGAUCAGGGUUCGUAGUCUCCAAGACCAAAAAUAUUCAAAGACUUUCAAAGAUUCUUUCUGUCUAUUUUCAAAGACUUUUCAAAGACCUUUGAGACUUCAGCUGUGUCGAAAAAUUGCGAAUGUAAGCACCAUUUUUGCCCAGUAAUUAGUCCCGCCACAUCACAUCUUAAAAUGUACCUUUUCGUUGAUAUUUGCGAAAACCUUGCUCUUCAAUUAAUCUAUUUUAUUAGCUAUAGGAAAUCGUAUAAUCAAAUACUCACUAAAGAAUUAAUUUCAAAGACUUUUAAAGACUUUCUUCGCUUUUUAACACAAUUCAAAGACUUUUCAAAGACUUUAAAGACCUGCAUUCAAAUUUAAAGACUUUCAGGGAUUUCAAAGACCGCUACGAACCCUGUUCAUGCAACUUGUUUCAGCAACUUGCAUCAAGUCUGCAAAUGUCAACUUGCAGCAAGCCUGAUUUCAACAGGCUUGAUGCAACUUGAUGACGUGAUCAACAAACCUGCUGCAAUAACUUGUUGACAACUUUCAGCAGGCUGGUAAAUCCGCAACUUGUAGCAAGUCUGGGUCGUUUCUGGCUGUGUAACAACCUCGUCCCCAGGCGCUUUGAUUUGCUGCGCCAUUUCGUGCGCGUCUGAGUUGGAGCCUGGGGACAAGGCUGGCUGUGUAAUGCUCAGGCAUUCAAAUUAUUACAACAGGUAAAUUUGAAAAGGUAUACUUUUAGUCCAGUCAAUCUGUGACCAGAGGUCAAAGAAAUUGCAAUAGAAUUUUUUUCAGUGGAAAAAUGUGAGGGAAGGUGUCCUGAUUAACAUACUAAAAAUCCAAGAAAAUCCCUUCGGUGGAAC
rnacentral:lncRNA from 1 species